rnacentral:lncRNA from 1 species
AGCUAACAAGUCCAAGAGUGCACUAAUUCAUUCCUAACAUGGCCUGAUUAUUUUUCUUCUAUUGCAGUACAAACGCUACCGUUCAUAUACUAACAUAUUGAAGAGUUCAAAGUUACAAACACAAGUAAGGGAUAAAGCGUCGAAGUCUCCACAAUCGGAAGCCGCCAUAAAGAGGAACGGUUUAUUAAGUAAAAAUAUGAGACGAUAUAGUUCCCUCAAUAAUUUGCUGGACACCGAAGAUGGCGACCAAAAGGGUAACCCGAAUUACAGAGAAAGUUAUUUUAUGGCAAUUUAUAGAGGGUAGAUUGUUUUAUGACGGAGUAAUUUAUUAUAGAGUUGCUGUGCUCUUAUAGUUGGUCAAUCUGGGCCAUUCCAUUCAAAGUCCACACCCCCCUGUGGACGAGACCUCUUAUUUUAGACCCCUCAGAAACGUUUUUGCCAAUGCUCUUCAGAAAUUCUUCAAAUUUACCAAACACCUCGGAAAUUUCCAAUUUUCUGAACCCCUUGGAAAGUUCCAUGGCAAGAAACCCCUUUCGGAAACCUUUUCAUUUCUUUCCGACAAUUUCCAUGAAUUGUUAGCGACCACUUUGGAAAUCGUUAAAUUUCAGAGAUUUUUCUGAACCCCCUCGUUUCUGUUAAAUUCCCCUCGCAAAUUGCGAUUUUAAAGACCUCUUCGGAAAUUACAAAUUUGGGGACCGUUCGGAAACGUGGAAUUUUUUAGCCCCUCUGAGAAUUUCGUCCACUGGGGGAGGGAGGGGGUGUAUAUAUUAAAUGAAUGGUCCACUGCAGUUAUCAGAUUGAGAGAAUAGUCUUAACUUCUCAUUUUACCUAAACACUCUAAAAGCAACCUGGUUAAAAAUUUCCUGGCUAAUCUAAAAUUAACAGUGGGGUAACGUAAUGUUUCUGGUUAAAUUUCUUGUUUAAUUUAACCACAGUCCUGGUUAAUUGGAUCACUAUUGUGGCUAAUUUAACCGGAAUUCCUGGUUGAUAUAGCCAGGCUAUAUGGUUGAAUUAACCAGAUUAUGUUAGGACGAUUAUUAACCAGAGAUCCUGGUUAAAUUAGCCAGGACCAUGAUCAAAUAAACCAGGACUGUGGUUAAAUAAUUAACCAGUUAAACACUGUUAAUUUUUAAUGCGAAAAGUGGCUUUUCAAAGCUGUAACUGUAAAUUUACCAUAGUGCACUGGAAAUUUACCCCCCCCCCCAAAAAAAAAAAAAAUGGGUAACGAACCCAGCGCGAGAAAGCCCAUUCUCCAGUGCUCUAAAUCCCACUUUCCCAGUGCCAGAGAAAUAGUCUUAUCCAGGCACCAUUUUAUCAUUUUACCUCUCGAGAACGAGACAAGUUAGGCCUGUUUUAUACGUCGAAUUUUGGUCGCGUCGAAAUGUCGAAUGCAAUUAAGACAAUAGAUAAGGAGAUGAUAAAGCUCAUUAAGCUUCAAUUAUCUAUUAGUUGAAUUGCAUUCGACGCGACCGAAAUUCGACGCAUAAAACAGGCCUUAGAGAUAUACGAUCUGUUGUGACUCGUUCCUUUAAAAUGCUUAUGCAGCGAAAUUUCACACCGUUGUAAAGAAAAUUCAAAAUGACUGAUAAGAUAUUUUGCCACAAACUUAUUUAGCUUGCUUCGUUCUUGAGAUAUUUAACGUUUGAUAUGCAAUUUUAUAACUCUUAUAUAGAUAACAUGACUUUGUAGUAUGUUGACAUGACACAUAUGUAACGGUUACAUGAUUUCGGUGCACGAUGUUUCAAAAAGUCAUGCAAUGUGAGGUCAUAUUGGAGGAUAAUUUACAUAUCAAAAACUGGUAAAUAUCUCAAGGACGAAGCAAGCCAAGAGCGUGUUUAUCCCACGUAUAACCCACAGAAUCGUUCACAGAGACAUUUUAAGAUUGAAAUCUAUCGAGAAAAUGUUAUUUACAACAAUAUUUAUGCGUAAACAGAGCAAUAACACUCAUCCCGCGUAGGCGAGCCUGCCCGGGUCAUUGCGUUUAUAUGGGGAAUUCCCAGCCCGGUCACCUGAGAUAUUGGGUCAGUCGAGGCAGGAUCUUGCUUCGGCAGGCUAGCUCGAUUCGCAUAUAAACGCCAAAUGAAAUUUAGUAGUUAGGGCUUAGAAGGGGCCAAAGUCGAUGACAUGAUAUAUCCAUGUAGUGUACAUGUGUAUCAGUGUAUUAAUGGAUUAUGACUUAUGACUAUACAACUCAUCCAAUUUUGCCCUUCAUUACAAUUACUGCGAAGUUUCUUUCAAAACAUUGCAUUAAAAGGAUACUUGACACAGAGACGAAUGGCUAUCACUGUUUCAAUUUUACAGAAAAACCUUACGAAGUGUAGAACCUUGUUAG